AUUGAACGCUGGCGGCAGGCCUAACACAUGCAAGUCGAGCGGAUGAAGGGAGCUUGCUCCUGGAUUCAGCGGCGGACGGGUGAGUAAUGCCUAGGAAUCUGCCUGGUAGUGGGGGAUAACGUCGGGAAACGGGCGCUAAUACCGCAUACGACCUGAGGGAGAAAGUGGGGGAUCUUCGGACCUUACGCUAUCAGAUGAGCAUAGGUCGGGUUAGCUAGUUGGUGGGGUAAAGGCCUACCAAGGCGAGGAUCCGUAACUGGUCUGGGAGGAUGAUCAGUCACACUGGAACUGAGACACGGUCCAGACUCCUACGGGGGGCAGCAGUGGGGAAUAUUGGACAAUGGGCGAAAGCCUGAUCCAGCCAUGCCGCGUGUGUGAAGAAGGUCUUCGGAUUGUAAAGCACUUUAAGUUGGGAGGAAGGGCAGUAAGUUAAUACCUUGCUGUUUUGACGUUACCAACAGAAUAAGCACCGGCUAACUUCGUG
rnacentral:rRNA from 1 species